AGUACUGCGAGUGAAGCGGGAAAAGCUCAAAUUUAAAAUCUGGUGGUCUUUGGCCAUCCGANUUGUAAUUUAGAGAAGCGAUUUCCGCGCUGGACCGUGCACAAGUCUCCUGGAAUGGAGCGUCAUAGAGGGUGAGAAUCCCGUCUUUGGCACGGAUGCACCAGGGCUUUUGUGAUGCGCUCUCGAAGAGUCGAGUUGUUUGGGAAUGCAGCUCAAAAUGGGUGGUGAACUCCAUCUAAAGCUAAAUAUUGGCGAGAGACCGAUAGCGAACAAGUACCGUGAGGGAAAGAUGAAAAGCACUUUGGAAAGAGAGUGAAACAGUACGUGAAAUUGUUGAAAGGGAAACGCUUGAAGUCAGUCGCGUUGACCGAGACUCAGCCUUGCCUCGGCUUGGUGUACUUCUCGGCUGACGGGUCAGCAUCAAUUUUGCCCCUUGGAUAAUGGCGAGGGAAAUGUGACACCUUUACGGUGUGUUAUAGUCUCUCGUCGCAUGCAAGGGUUGGGAUUGAGGAACUCAGCACGCGCCUUUGGGUGUCGGGGCUUUGCCUACGAUACGUGCUUAGGAUGUUGGCGUAAUGGCUUUAAACGACCCGUCUUGAAACACGGACCAAGGAGUCUAACAUACCUGCGAGUGUUCGGGUGGAAAACCCGUGCGCGCAAUGAAAGUGAAAGUUGGGACCUCUGUCGUGGAGGGCACCGACGCCCGGACCAGACCUUCUGUGACGGCUCUGCGGUAGAGCAUGUAUGUUAGGACCCGAAAGAUGGUGAACUAUGCCUGAAUAGGGUGAAGCCAGAGGAAACUCUGGUGGAGGCUCGUAGCGAUUCUGACGUGCAAAUCGAUCGUCAAAUUUGGGUAUAGGGGCGAAAGACUAAUCGAACCAUCUAGUAGCUGGUUCCUGCCGA
rnacentral:rRNA from 1 species